rnacentral:lncRNA from 1 species
UCUUCUUUAUCCAUUCAUCUGCCAAUAAACAUUUAGGUUGCAUCCAUGUCUUGGUAUUGUAAAUAGUGCCGCUAUGAACACUAGGAUGCAUGUUUGUUUUGCUUUGCUUUGUUUUGUUUUUAGGGCCUCAGGCUCUAUGCAGCCCUAAACUUCUAUGGAAGGUUCUAGUCUAGCUGUAGCUCUGAUUAGACCCCUAGCCUGGGAAACUACAUAUACCAUGGGUGCGGCCCUAAAAAAGACAAAAAGACCAAAAAAAAAAACCACCCUAAUGUUAAAGAGUUUAUGUGAGUUGAUUGUGGUUGCUUUUGAGUUUGAAGUCAGCUUCCAAAAGAGAAGCAAUUUCUGAGCAAAGCAUUCUACUACCUCCAGACAGCCCUUGUGUCUCCAGGAUAUAGAAUUUAAGGAGGAAGCAUUAUGACCGCUCUUGUUCAGAGGACUGCAGUGGAUAAAUGAGGGGAGUCAAGGAGGAGCAGACAAGAAACUGACCAUACCUUUGGCUCAGCUCCAUCAGGAAAGCUGAGAAGACAGACAAGCGACUUGCACUCUGCCUCCAACUUAGGAGCAGCCAAACAAGAGGCAGCACCUGAUGAGCUAGUAUAGGCAUUAAAGACUACAGCUUCUGAGCAAGUUUUCAUGUUAAAUGGCUGGUCUACAAAUGGCUUGCAGCAGAUGGCAAGCAAAUGGGAAUUUUGAAAGAUCUGACUUGUAGAAACUAGUUUUUGAAAGUUGUAUAAAUUAAAUAUGAAGUGUGAGUACAAUUACAGGAAAUAAGUAGCUUUCCAUUCAUUUCAGGCUGCUUAAUGCUUUGGCAUAAAUUGUUCUGAAGGAUCUUAUACACUUAUACUCAUUUUAACUAUAAAUAAAACUGAAUUAAUAAUAAAAACCCUAAUUUGGUUAACAGUUUAAGUAACCGGUCUAAAAUGUCUCUCGGAUUCCAUUUGAGAGGAUCCCAAAGCCACUUAGGAAAGCCUAUCAUGAGAAGUAUGGGCACCAUCCUCUGGUGAAACUGGAAACUGCAAGUGUGCCAGGAUUGCUUUCAGCUGCUGCAAACAAUCUUUAAAUGAAAGAGAGGUUAAUUGAUCGACAAGCCAGUGUUUUUACCUCAAGUGUGGCCCUCCUUUCAAAAUUUCUAUAAAUUCAAUAUCUAAUAGACUGAGAUAUUGUCAAGAAAACAUACAUAAAGUUUUACAAGGAACUAUUUUAUAAGAAUCAAAAUACAUACACAGGUAAAUACACUCCCAGAUUCCUUUUAUUUAGAUACUUUUAAUCCUUAUUACUCGUCCUCAGAAAAUUAAAAAGCAUUUAAGUGUGUUAAGUAAAGAAUAAAGACACAAAUAUUUUGAGUAAUCAUUCUUAGCAUUCAAGGGUUGCCUUUGAGUUAGAUAUGAGAAUUAGGGAGAUUUAAAAAACUAUGGCAAUCAUGGAAAUAAACAAAAGCCACCCAAAUGUGAAACAGGCAAAGGCUAUGUAGUCAGAUAUUGCUAUGGCAAG